rnacentral:rRNA from 1 species
GGUCCAGACUCCUACGGGAGGCAGCAGUGAGGAAUAUUGGUCAAUGGCCGAGAGGCUGAACCAGCCAAGUCGCGUGAGGGAUGACGGCCCUACGGGUUGUAAACCUCUUUUGCCGGGGAGCAAAGAGCGGGACGCGUCCCGCCUCGAGAGUACCCGGAGAAAAAGCAUCGGCUAACUCCGUGCCAGCAGCCGCGGUAAUACGGAGGAUGCGAGCGUUAUCCGGAUUUAUUGGGUUUAAAGGGUGCGUAGGCGGACAGUCAAGUCAGCGGUAAAAAUGCGGUGCUCAACGCCGUACAGCCGUUGAAACUGGCAGUCUUGAGUGGGCGAGAAGUAUGCGGAAUGCGUGGUGUAGCGGUGAAAUGCAUAGAUAUCACGCAGAACUCCGAUUGCGAAGGCAGCAUACCGGCGCCCGACUGACGCUGAGGCACGAAAGCGUGGGUAUCGAACAGGAUUAGAUACCCUCGUAC